rnacentral:rRNA from 1 species
CCUACGGGUGGCUGCAGUGGGGAAUAUUGGGCAAUGGGCGCAAGCCUGACCCAGCAACGCCGCGUGAAGGAAGAAGGCUUUCGGGUUGUAAACUUCUUUUCUCAGGGACGUAGAAAGUGACGGUACCUGUGGAAUAAGCCACGGCUAACUACGUGCCAGCAGCCGCGGUAAUACGUAGGUGGCAAGCGUUAUCCGGAUUUAUUGGGUGUAAAGGGCGUGUAGGCGGGAUCGUAAGUCAGAUGUGAAAAUUCAGGGCUCAACCCUGGGCCUGCAUUUGAAACUGUGUUUCUUGAGUGCUGGUGAGGCAGUCGGAAUGUCGUGUGUAGCGGUGAAAUGCGUAGAGAUAC